GGUAUGGAUGUGUUUUGAGAGGUAAAAUUUGGACGACAUGUUUUUUUCAUACACUCUGUGAUUCAUUUAACUGUUUGUUUAUUGGUGGAACACAAAAUAUUGUUUAUAAUUUCCAUCCCUUGAAUUGUUUUCAGUAUUUGAAAUUUUUCCCGUUAAGAUUUUCAACAUAACCACUCUUAUCCAAAAUCGAGUAUAUAAAGUAUAUCAAUACUGGUCUCUUGCCUGCAUUAAAGGUCUCUUCUUUGCUUUGAUAGUAACAAAAAUAAAGUGUUGCAUUAAACUGACCAAAGUGGUCUACUAGAUUAGGAUUGAAGUUUAGUUAAGUUGAAUUAAGUUGAUGAAAAUGAAAAUAUCAUAACCAAUCUUGCAUACAUUGGGGCUAUGUUUCCUUUUACUUUUAUUGGAGUCAUGGUUUUCUUUGAUUGUCAAAACUAGAAUGUCACUAAUUCUGCCUUUGGAUCAUUUUUAUUGCCUAAUUUCAUUGAUGAAUUCAUUACAUUACUAGUAUCUUUGAUAUAAAAUGGCAAUAAAAACUGUUGCGCAUGCAUAACAGAGUUCUAAUUCUUAGUUCAAGUGGUUCCUAUUAGUAAUUUUUUAACUGCCUUCGCCUCAUCUGUUCAAAUAUGUCUUAAUAUUUGCCCCCAUGGUUUGACCAAUCAAUGUUCUUGAUUAAGAUGACAAAAAUCUAAAUAAGUCAUAGAAGAUUCUAAAUCAUAUUACUGCUCAGCAUUUCAUUUUGAGUCUUUGGUUUUAUAUUAGGGUUGUCCUUUGCUAAGGUAAAAGGUAUAACCCUCUAUGUGUAGCAUGAUAUAAAAAUUUCCUUGUAAUAAGUUCUGUGUGUUCAACAUGAUGUGAAUCUUGAGUCAAAGAAUCAAACUUAUCUGGUCUUUGAUGUUGUUUACUGUGGUCUAAAUUUUCUUGUUGGAUAGGUGAUGUGAACAGCAUU
rnacentral:misc_RNA from 1 species